rnacentral:rRNA from 1 species
GAGGUAGAUAGGUUGGAGGUGGAAGUGCAGCAAUGCAUGGAGCUGACCAAUACUAAUCGGUCGAGGGCUUAUCCAAAA